rnacentral:rRNA from 1 species
GAUGGAUGAGCUCGCGUCGGAUUAGCUUGUUGGUGAGGUAAAGGCUCACCAAGGCGACGAUCCGUAGCUGGUCUGAGAGGAUGAUCAGCCACGCCGGGACUGAGACACGGCCCGGACUCCUACGGGAGGCAGCAGUGGGGAAUCUUGGACAAUGGGGGCAACCCUGAUCCAGCCAUGCCGCGUGUGUGAAGAAGGCCUUCGGGUUGUAAAGCACUUUCAGUAGGGAGGAAGGCUUCCGGUUAAUACCCGGGAGUACUUGACGUUACCUACAGAAGAAGCACCGGCUAAUUUCGUGCCAGCAGCCGCGGUAAUACGAAAGGUGCAAGCGUUAAUCGGAAUUACUGGGCGUAAAGCGCGCGUAGGCGGUGUGUUAAGUCGGAUGUGAAAGCCCAGGGCUCAACCUUGGAAUUGCAUCCGAUACUGGCACGCUAGAGUGCAGUAUAGGGAGGUGGAAUUUCCGGUGUAGCGGUGAAAUGCGUAGAGAUCGGAAGGAACACCAGUGGCGAAGGCGGCCUCCUGGACUGACACUGACGCUGAGGUGC